ACACUCGAACUCAUAUGGGACUACCCCCUGAAUUUAAGCAUAUUAAUUAGGGGAGGAAAAGAAACUAACAAGGAUUUUCUUAGUAGCGGCGAGCGAAAAGAAAACAGUUCAGCACUAAGUCACUUUGUCUAUAUGGCAAAUGUGAGAUGCAGUGUAUGGAGCGUCAAUAUUCUAGUAUGAGAAAUUAAUGAUUUAAGUCCUUCUUAAAUGAGGCCAUUUACCCAUAGAGGGUGCCAGGCCCGUAUAACGUUAAUGAUUGCUAGAUGAUGUUUCCAAAGAGUCGUGUUGCUUGAUAGUGCAGCACUAAGUGGGUGGUAAACUCCAUCUAAAACUAAAUAUAACCAUGAGACCGAUAGUAAACAAGUACCGUGAGGGAAAGUUGAAAAGAACUCUGAAUAGAGAGUUAAACAGUACGUGAAACUGCUUAGAGGUUAAGCCCGAUGAACCUGAAUAUCCGUUAUGGAAAAUUCAUCAUUAAAAUUGUAAUAUUUAAAUAAUAUUAUUAAGAAUAAUGUGCAUUUUUUCCAUAUAAGGACAUUGUAAUCUAUUAGCAUAUCCCAAAUUUAUCAUAAAAUAUAACUUAUAGUUUAUUCCAAUUAAAUUGCUUGCAUUUUAACACAGAAUAAAUGUUAUUAAUUUGAUAAAGUGCUGAUAGAUUUAUAUUAUUACAGAGCGUUAAUUUUUCGGAAUUAUAUAAUGGCAUAAUUAUCAUUGAUUUUGGUGUUUAUUAUAUGCUCUGGUAUGAUUAACAAUGCGAAAGAUUCAGGAUACCUUCGGGACCCGUCUUGAAACACGGACCAAGGAGUCUAACAUAUGUGCAAGUUAUUGGGAUGUAAACCUAAUAGCGUAAUUAACUUGACUAAAUAAUGGGAUUAGUUUUUUAGCUAUUUAUAGCUAAUUAACACAAUCCCGGGGCGUUCUAUAUAGUUAUGUAUAAUGUAUAUUUAUAUUAUUUAUGCCUCUAACUGGAACGUACCUUGAGCAUAUAUGCUGUGACCCGAAAGAUGGUGAACUAUACUUGAUCAGGUUGAAGUCAGGGGAAACCCUGAUGGAAGACCGAAACAGUUCUGACGUGCAAAUCGAUUGUCAGAAUUGAGUAUAGGGGCGAAAGACCAAUCGAACCAUCUAGUAGCUGGUUCCUUCCGAAGUUUCCCUCAGGAUAGCUGGUGCAUUUUAAUAUUAUAUAAAAUAAUCUUAUCUGGUAAAGCGAAUGAUUAGAGGCCUUAGGGUCGAAACGAUCUUAACCUAUUCUCAAACUUUAAAUGGGUAAGAACCUUAACUUUCUUGAUAUGAAGUUCAAGGUUAUGAUAUAAUGUGCCCAGUGGGCCACUUUUGGUAAGCAGAACUGGCGCUGUGGGAUGAACCAAACGUAAUGUUACGGUGCCCAAAUUAACAACUCAUGCAGAUACCAUGAAAGGCGUUGGUUGCUUAAAACAGCAGGACGGUGAUCAUGGAAGUCGAAAUCCGCUAAGGAGUGUGUAACAACUCACCUGCCGAAGCAACUAGCCCUUAAAAUGGAUGGCGCUUAAGUUGUAUACCUAUACAUUACCGCUAAAGUGGAUGAUUUAUAUUACUUGUGAUAUAAAUUUUGAAACUUUAGUGAGUAGGAAGGUACAAUGGUAUGCGUAGAAGUGUUUGGCGUAAGCCUGCAUGGAGCUGCCAUUGGUACAGAUCUUGGUGGUAGUAGCAAAUAAUCGAAUGAGACCUUGGAGGACUGAAGUGGAGAAGGGUUUCGUGUGAACAGUGGUUGAUCACGAGUUAGUCGGUCCUAAGUUCAAGGCGAAAGCCGAAAAUUUUCAAGUAAAACAAAAAUGCCUAACUAUAUAAACAAAGCGAAUAUAAUACACUUGAAUAAUUUUGAACGAAAGGGAAUACGGUUCCAAUUCCGUAACCUGUUGAGUAUCCGUUUGUUAUUAAAUAUGGGCCUCGUGCUCAUCCUGGCAACAGGAACGACCAUAAAGAAGCCGUCGAGAGAUAUCGGAAGAGUUUUCUUUUCUGUUUUAUAGCCGUACUACCAUGGAAGUCUUUCGCAGAGAGAUAUGGUAGAUGGGCUAGAAGAGCAUGACAUAUACUGUUGUGUCGAUAUUUCUCCUCGACCUUGAAAAUUUAUGGUGGGGACACGCCAACUUCUCACAGGCCGUACCAAUAUCCGCAGCUGGUCUCCAAGGUGAAGAGUCUCUAGUCGAUAGAAUUAAUGUAGGUAAGGGAAGUCGGCAAAUUAGAUCCGUAACUUCGGGAUAAGGAUUGGCUCUGAAGAUUGAGAUAGUCGGGCUUGAUUGGGAAACAAUAACAUGGUUUAUGUGCUCGUUCUGGGUAAAUAGAGUUUCUAGCAUUUAUGUUAGUUACUUGUUCCCCGGAUAGUUUAGUUACGUAGCCAAUUGUGGAACUUUCUUGCUAAAAUUUUUAAGAAUACUAUUUGGGUUAAACCAAUUAGUUCUUAUCAAUUAUAACGAUUAUCAAUUAACAAUCAAUUCAGAACUGGCACGGACUUGGGGAAUCCGACUGUCUAAUUAAAACAAAGCAUUGUGAUGGCCCUAGCGGGUGUUGACACAAUGUGAUUUCUGCCCAGUGCUCUGAAUGUCAAAGUGAAGAAAUUCAAGUAAGCGCGGGUCAACGGCGGGAGUAACUAUGACUCUCUUAAGGUAGCCAAAUGCCUCGUCAUCUAAUUAGUGACGCGCAUGAAUGGAUUAACGACGGACGUGUUUUCGUUGCGCUCGUGUACAGAUUGCGAAGAACUUGGUUUUCCGUGUUUGGAAAGUAAUAAAAUCGGUGAAUUAGUGCUCCGCGAAAGUCGUGUGCUAAUUUUCGUGUGUUAUAAACAAGCGGUUUGGAAGUAAUAUACAGCAAUUAAUUGUUGGGAAUUUUCCACUUAGCACGUGCUGAGAGGCGAACUUACGAGUAAGUUUUUCGAGUAAGCUUUUUGAUCAGCUGUCACAAAGCUUAUUGGUGGGAGUCACUGCUAAGGUUUGUGUCUAGGGAGAGUUUUAGUGCUACCAGACUCUACCGAUAGGUGGAGCUCGAGUUCCAGAGCAACUACCUUUUGUCAGCGAGUAAACGAGCAUACGGUUGCUGGCGUCGACGGUAGGUGGAGCCACCAUCGUAUUUAUGCCGAUGGAGAGCGACAGCAGCGCGAGUGCCUUGAGCGGAAGUAGUGCCUCGAUGAAGUCCAGACGAGGCAGGCGCAGAAGCCAUCUGGCAUCUAAGAGCUCGGCGCCAACGCAGGCGAAAUUGGUUGCCCUGGCAUCGAAUGGAGUGCCAGAACCCGUUGGGGUACUGGAGGAGCCGUUUUUCGUCGCUGGAGGACGCCCGGGCGGCUACGGAGAACGCUGCCAUUGAUGCUGCCCCCCCCCACGCUGCUGCCACCGCUGCUGAUCCUACUGCUGCCCCUGCUGCCGACCACACUGCUGCCUCCGCCGUUUUCACUGCUGCUAAAAUUGUUGCCACCACUGCCACUGCCGCCACCGCUGCCGCCCGUGCUGGGCAAGCAGCCAUGAUGGCAGAGCUGUCGGCCACACAGCGCAUGGUGAGAAGCAGCUUCCGCAGACUAGGAGAAGUGGACACGGAAGAGCUCUCAUAUGCUAUCAGCCGCUACGAUGAGCUGGUGUUGGCGCUAAUGCUCCGGUGCGGAGAGCUGGAGACGCGGCUUGCUAUGCCGCCACCGCCGCCGCCGUCGUUGAAUCUGUUGAAAAAUACGGCCGCCAAUGCUCCCCAGAUGCAGCAGGUUGCACCCAUCGCUGCCCCGCGGACUACCAAGGUCCGCGAGACGUGGUCAGCGGUGGUGAAGUGCGACGACCCUGCGCUAUCGGGGAAAGACAUAGCGGAAAAGGUGCGAACGAUGGUUGCACCCUCUCUCGGAGUCAGAGUACACGAGGUCCGUGAGCUCCGUCGAGGUGGUGGUGCGAUCAUUCGCACUCCUUCGGUGGGAGAGCUGCAGAAGGUGGUCGCUUCAAAAAGAUUCGCCGAGGUUGGCCUAAAUGUGGCACGGAAUGCGGCCGAGAAGCCGAAGGUCGUCGUAUAUGACGUCGACACAGCUAUCGGCCCUGAGGAGUUUAUGAAGGAGCUCCACGAAAACAACUUCGACAGCGAAAUGAAUCUGGCCCAGUUUAAGAAGUCAGUGCACCUGGUGACCAAGGCGUGGUCGGUAGCUGACGGCGCCACAGUAAAUGUGACGCUGGAGGUUGACGACCGGGCGAUGGCGAAGCUUGAUGUAGGUCGUGUCUACAUCAAGUGGUUCUCAUUCCGAUGCCGGUCACAGGUCCGCACAUACGCCUGCCACAGAUGUGUGGGUUUCGACCACAAGGUCAGCGAAUGCCGGCAGAAAGGAUAGUGUCUGUCGCCAGUGCGGGCAACAAGGACCACACUGCGGCAAAGUGCCAAAACCCGGUGGACUGCCGGAACUGCCGCCACAGAGGGCAACCCUCGGGGCAUUACAUGCUCUCGAGCGUUUGCCCGAUAUACGGGGCGUUGCUGGCGAGGGUGCAAGCUAGACACUAAUGUUUAGCUUCAUCCAAGCGAACUGUGGCCGAGGCCGAGCUGCGACCAUCGAGCUCGGAGUCCGACUCAGGAGAUCGGAGUCUAUGUUCGCGCUGGUGCAGGAGCCGUAUCUCGACGGGGACGGAAUGGAUGUGCUGCCUGAAGGAAUGAGAAUUUUCAUCGAUCGGCGAGGGGAAGGCAGCCAUCCUAGUGGAUCACCAGGAAGCCAUCUGUAUGCCAGUGGAGACCCUCACCACAGAUUAUGGCGUAUGUCUGGUCGUGAAAGGGAGUUUUGGCUCAAUCUUCCUUUGCGCCGCAUACUGCCAGUAUGAUGCACCUCUGGAACCGUACAUCCGGUACAUGGAUGCGGUCCUGCUGCAGGCCAGCAGAACCCCCGCAAUCCUGGGCCUCGACGCGAAUGCAGUGUCCCCCAUGUGGCUUAGCAAACUCUCUCGUCAUGCCGAGGGGCAAGCUAACUACAGACGGGGUGAGCUGCUGUCAGAGUGGAUGCUGGAGGCAAGAGUCGCCGCCCUAAACCAGUCAACAGAGGUGUACACGUUCGAUAAUUACAGAGCUACAAGCGAUAUCGACGUGACAAUCGUCAAUGAGGCAGCAUCUAUGUGGGCCACAUAUGAGUGGAGAGUGGACGAGUGGGAAUUGAGUGACCACAACAUCAUUACUGUUGUGGCCGAACCAACUACCGCGCGCGCAGUUGAGAGCAUAGCUCCUGUGCCGUCCUGGAACUUCUCCAAUGCACGUUGGCGAUUGUUCAAGGAGGAAAUGGUGAGUAGAGCAGCCGAACUUCCGGAAAACUUCUCAGAGUCGCCGUUGGACCAGCAAGUUUCGACCCUGCGCAGUAUAGUACAUAAUGUAUGUGAUAUUGCGCUGGGAAGAAAGUCCAUCCGAUUGCCCAGCAGGAGAGCACGUUGGUGGACUGCCGACCUCUGUGAUGCAAGGCGCGAAGUCCGGAGACUUCGUCGCCCUACUUCAAAAUGGAAGGCGUCAUGAUGAUGAUGCCGCAAUAGAGCGUGUAUUGGUCGACCUGAGGCGGGCCUCAGCCAACUACAAGAAGCUCAUUUGGAGGGCGAAAAUGGAUGAGUGGAAACGCUUCGUGGGAGAUCAUGCCGACGACCCAUGGGGGCGCGUCUAUAAGAUUUGCCGAGGCCGCAGGAAGUGCACGGAGAUUGGGUGCCUCCGCGUGAAUGGCGAGAUGAUCACCGAUUGGGGUGACUGUGCACGAGUGCUCCUCCGCAAUUUCUUCCCAGUUGCGGAGUCCGAAGCACCGACUGCCAUCGCGGAGGAAGUCCCACCGGCCCUCGAAGUAUUCGAGGUUGAUGCAUGUGUUGCCCGGUUGAAGAGCAGGCGCUCUCCCGGCUUGGACGGCAUUAAUGGCACUAUCUGCAAGGCAGUCUGGCGCGCCAUACCCGAGCACCUUGCAUCGUUGUUUUCCCGAUGCAUCCGAUUAGGAUACUUUCCCGCUGAGUGGAAGUGCCCACGAGUUGUCUCGCUGCUCAAAGGGCCAGAUAAGGACAAAUGUGAGCCCUCCUCAUAUAGAGGAAUAUGCUUGCUACCAGUCUUUGGUAAGGUGCUCGAGGCCAUCAUGGUGAAUCGUGUGAGAGAAGUUCUUCCGGAAGGCUGCAGAUGGCAAUUUGGAUUUCGCCAAGGACGAUGUGUGGAGGAUGCUUGGAGGCACGUGAAGAGCAGUGUUUGUGCCAGCCCGGCGCAAUACGUGCUCGGCACAUUCGUGGACUUCAAAGGAGCAUUCGACAACGUCGAAUGGAGUGCUGCACUCCGCCGACUAGCCGACUUGGGAUGCCGGGAGAUGGGCUUGUGGCAGAGCUUUUUCUCCGGCCGAAGAGCAGUGAUCCGAAGCAGUUCCGGUACUGUGGAUGUACCGGUAACUAGAGGCUGCCCGCAGGGGUCAAUCAGUGGCCCAUUUAUCUGGGACAUACUGAUGGAUGUACUGCUUCAGCGUCUCCAGCCGUAUUGCCAGCUGAGUGCAUACGCGGAUGACUUGCUGCUUCUCGUCGAGGGAAAUUCCCGAGCUGAGCUAGAGGAAAAAGGUGCAGAGCUGAUGUCCAUCGUAGAAGCGUGGGGAGCGGAAGUUGGCGUUACCGUCUCGACCAGCAAGACGGUAAUAAUGCUGCUGAAAGGUGCCUGAGACGUNNNNNNNNNNNNNNNNNNNNNNNNNNNNNNNNNNNNNNNNNNNNNNNNNNNNNNNNNNNNNNNNNNNNNNNNNNNNNNNNNNNNNNNNNNNNNNNNNNNNGGCAGAGCUUUUCUCCGCCGAAGAGCAGUGAUCCGAAGCAGUUCCGGUACUGUGGAUGUACCGGUAACUAGAGGCUGCACGCAGGGAUCAAUCAGUGGCCCAUUUAUCUGGGACAUACUGAUGGAUGUACUGCUUCAGCGUCUCCAGCCGUAUUGCCAGCUGAGUGCAUACGCGGAUGACUUGCUGCUUCUCGUCGAGAGAAAUUCCCGAGCUGAGCUAGAGGAAAAAGGUGCAGAGCUGAUGUCCAUCGUAGAAGCGUGGGGAGCGGAAGUUGGCGUUACCGUCUCGACCAGCAAGACGGUAAUAAUGCUGCUGAAAGGUGCCUUGAGACGUGCGCCUACGGUGAGGUUUGCUGGAGCGAACCUUCCGUAUGUGCGUAGCUGUCGGUACCUUGGCAUCACGGUCAGUGAAGGAAUGAAAUUCCUCACGCACAUAGCUUCGCUUCGCCAGCGGAUGACCGGAGUCGUUGGAGCAUUGGCGCGUGUGCUUCGAGCCGACUGGGGCUUCAGUCCUCGAGCCAGGCGGACCAUAUAUGACGGACUCAUGGCACCUUGUGUGCUGUUUGGUGCCCCGGUAUGGUAUGACACCGCCGAACAGGUAGCCGCCCGGAGACGACUAGCCUCCUGCCAGAGGCUAAUCCUGCUUGGAUGCCUUUCGGUAUGCCGAACAGUGUCCACAGUGGCACUGCAGGUACUUGGCGGAGCUCCCCCGCUUGACUUGGCUGCUAAGUUUUUAGCGGUCAAGUACAAGCUGAAGCGUGGAUACCCGCUGGAGGAGAACGACUGGCUAUACGGCGAGGACACUACGUGUCUAAGCUGGAAGCAGAGGAAGACUCGCCUAGAGGAGUGCUUGCUGCAGAAUUGGCAAAACAGAUGGGAUGACGACAGCGAACCAGGACGGGUGACGCACAAGUUCAUCCCAUACGUCACUCUCGCCUAUCGAGAUCCAAGCUUUGGAUUCUCGAUGAGGACGUCUUUCCUGCUGACAGGUCACGGGUCGUUUAACGCAUUUUUGCAAGGGAGAGCCCUCAGCGAUACCACUGCUUGCGCUUGUGGUGAUCCAUAUGAGGACUGGAUGCACAUAUUGUGCGCUUGUCCUCUAUAUGCAGAUUUGCGAAACCUCGAUGGACUUGGAGUGCAGCGCCUUGGCGAAAACUGGACCUUCAAUAGAAUCCUGGAAGAUCAGCAGAGGAUUCAACGGCUGGCAGCGUUUGCGGACGAGGUGUUCCGUAGGAGGAGGGGUAUUUAGCCCAAAACUUCGCCGUGUGGUUAGCGGGCGAGAAUACUUCCACAGCCCGCUAUUGCUUGUCGUAAGAGGCGACUAAUAUAGCGACUGGUUCCUCUAACCAUGCUUGUCGGAGCAAAAGGAGGAGGCCCACCGAGCCUCUCUUUCGGUACCACGGGUUGUGCUGCUCCAAGACAGCACAUUGAGGUAGGCCCCCUGGUGGGAGUAUCGUGGUGGCUGUGGUUGAUACCCAUAUCGCGGGUAGAGCCUUCGUGUUCGACGUUUGAGUUACGGUGCUAGUUGCGCAAAACUCGGGUGCUGUGACCCAGAGAUCAGUAGAGAUUUUAGGUAGAUCUCGCUCCUCAGCAAGGGGGAGUGCUUGCCCGGCAAGCAAGUACUCGAAUUGCUACCGGGGUGGUCGCUAUGUACAUAGCUAUAGCUUCCAGUCCGGGACGUUUGUCUGGCGUAUCCAGACUCAUGCACCAUGUUGAUACAUGCACCACUUGUGGGUGUUCAGGGUGUCGUGGUUGUAAUCCCUUCAGUGUGGAACACGCCACGUAAAACAAGUUCGGAGAGGUCCGAAAGUCACUGUCCCUAUCUACUAUCUAGCGAAACCACAGCCAAGGGAACGGGCUUGGAAUAAUUAGCGGGGAAAGAAGACCCUUUUGAGCUUGACUCUAAUCUGGCAGUGUAAGGAGACAUAAGAGGUGUAGAAUAAGUGGGAGAUAUUAGACCUCGGUUUGGUAUCGUCAAUGAAAUACCACUACUCUUAUUGUUUCCUUACUUACUUGAUUAAAUGGAACGUGUAUCAUUUCCUAGCCAUUAUACGGAUAUAUUUAUUAUAUCUUAUGGUAUUGGGUUUUGAUGCAAGCUUCUUGAUCAAAGUAUCACGAGUUUGUUAUAUAAUCGCAAACAAAUUCUUUAAUAAAACGAUGCAUUUAUGUAUUUUUGAUUUGAAAAUUUGGUAUAACUCCAAUUACUCAGGUAUGAUCCAAUUCAAGGACAUUGCCAGGUAGGGAGUUUGACUGGGGCGGUACAUCUCUCAAAUAAUAACGGAGGUGUCCCAAGGCCAGCUCAGUGCGGACAGAAACCACACAUAGAGCAAAAGGGCAAAUGCUGACUUGAUCUCGGUGUUCAGUACACACAGGGACAGCAAAAGCUCGGCCUAUCGAUCCUUUUGGUUUAAAGAGUUUUUAACAAGAGGUGUCAGAAAAGUUACCAUAGGGAUAACUGGCUUGUGGCGGCCAAGCGUUCAUAGCGACGUCGCUUUUUGAUCCUUCGAUGUCGGCUCUUCCUAUCAUUGUGAAGCAAAAUUCACCAAGCGUUGGAUUGUUCACCCAUGCAAGGGAACGUGAGCUGGGUUUAGACCGUCGUGAGACAGGUUAGUUUUACCCUACUAAUGACAAAACGUUGUUGCGACAGCAUUCCUGCGUAGUACGAGAGGAACCGCAGGUACGGACCAAUGGCACAAUACUUGUUCGAGCGAACAGUGGUAUGACGCUACGUCCGUUGGAUUAUGCCUGAACGCCUCUAAGGUCGUAUCCGUGCUGGACUGCAAUGAUAAAUAAGGGGCAAUUUGCAUUGUAUGGCUUCUAAACCAUUUAAAGUUUAUAAUUUAUUUUAUAAACGACAAUGGAUGUGAUGCCAAUGUAAUUUGUAACAUAGUAAAUUAGGAGGAUCUUCGAUCACCUGAUGCCGCGCUAGUUACAUAUAAAAGCAUUAUUUAAUACAAUGACAAAGCCUAGAAUCAAUUGUAAACGACUUUUGUAACAGGCAAGGUGUUGUAAGUGGUUGAGCAGCUGCCAUACUGCGAUCCACUGAAGCUUAUCCUUUGCUUGAUGAUUCGA
rnacentral:rRNA from 1 species